rnacentral:rRNA from 1 species
UAGUCCACGCCGUAAACGAUCAUCACUCGCUGUUGGCGAUAUACUGUCAGCGGCCAAGCGAAAGUAUUAAGUGAUGCACCUGGGGAGUACGCCGGCAACGGUGAAACUCAAAGGAAUUGACGGGGGCCCGCACAAGCGGUGGAGCAUGUGGUUUAAUUCGAUGAUACGCGAGGAACCUUACCAGGGCUUAAACGUAGUGGGACAGGUCUAGAGAUAGACCCUUCUUCGGACUCAUUACAAGGUGCUGCAUGGUUGUCGUCAGCUCGUGCCGUGAGGUGUCAGGUUAAGUCCUAUAGCGAGCGCAACCCCUAUCGUUAGUUGCCAGCGAGUAAUGUCGGGAACUCUAACGAAACUGCCAGUGCAAACUGUGAGGAAGGUGUGGAUGACGUCAAGUCCUCAUGGCCCUUACGGGGUUGGGGCUACACACGUGCUACAAUGGUAGUGACAAUGGGUUAAUCCCAAAAAGCUAUCUCAGUUCGGAUUGUCGUCUGCAACUCGAC